AUGAAAUUUCAGCAAGAAAUAGGAAGAUAGCAAUAGAAUAAAACCAUAAUUUAUUAAUAAUUACUUCUGCCUGACUGGCGAGUUUUCCCCUGUAUAGGCUGGUGUAUUGAGUAUUCUAACUCAGUCAGUAUCUUCAUGUAGACUUUGUUUAGGUAGCAAGCAGUUAUUCCUUUGGCUGCUCUGAAGUCUUCACACACAGUCAUUCCAAUGGAAAGUUGGACAAAUGACAGCAGCAGCACAGUUAAGGUGACAUUGAGCCAAACAUCCUCCACCCCAGUAGUUCACUCUAGCCUGGCA
rnacentral:lncRNA from 1 species